rnacentral:rRNA from 1 species
CCUACGGUGUGCAGCAGUGAGGAAUAUUGGUCAAUGGGCGCGAGCCUGAACCAGCCAAGUAGCGUGAAGGAUGACUGCCCUACGGGUUGUAAACUUCUUUUAUAAAGGAAUAAAGUGAGUCACGUGUGCCUUUUUGUAUGUACUUUAUGAAUAAGGAUCGGCUAACUCCGUGCCAGCAGCCGCGGUAAUACGGAGGGUCCGAGCGUUAUCCGGAUUUAUUGGGGUUAAAGGGAGCGUAGAUGGGUUGUUAAGUCAGGUGUGAAAGUUUGCGGCUCAACCGUAAAAUUGCAAUUGAUACUGGCAGUCUUGAGUGCAGUUGAGGUUGGCGGAAUUCGUGGUGUAGCAGUGAAAUGCUUAGAUAUCACGAAGAACUCCGAUUGCGAAGGCAGCUUACUAAACUGCCACUGACAUUGAUGCUCGAAAGUGUGGGUAUCAAACAGGAUUAGAUACCCGUGUAGUC